rnacentral:rRNA from 1 species
UGAUCAUGGCUCAGGACGAACGCUGGCGGCGUGCCUAAUACAUGCAAGUCGAGCGGAAUGAUGAAGAAGCUUGCUUCUUCUGAUUUUAGCGGCGGACGGGUGAGUAACACGUGGGCAACCUACCUUGUAGAUUGGGAUAACUCCGGGAAACCGGGGCUAAUACCGAAUAAACCAUUUUGCUUCAUGGCAAGAUGUUGAAAGGCGGCUUCGGCUGUCACUACUAGAUGGGCCCGCGGCGUAUUAGCUAGUUGGUAGGGUAAUGGCCUACCAAGGCGACGAUACGUAGCCGACCUGAGAGGGUGAUCGGCCACACUGGGACUGAGACACGGCCCAGACUCCUACGGGAGGCAGCAGUAGGGAAUCUUCCACAAUGGACGAAAGUCUGAUGGAGCAACGCCGCGUGAGUGAAGAAGGUUUUCGGAUCGUAAAACUCUGUUGUAAGGGAAGAACACGUACGAGAG